CCGAUUGCGGAGGCAGCUUACUAAACCGCCAACUGACGCUCAUGCACGAAGGCGUGGGGAUCAAACAGGAUUAGAUACCCUGGUAGUCCACGCAGUAAACGAUGAUUACUGGCUGUUUGCGAUACAAUGUAAGCGGCUGAGCGAAAGCGUUAAGUAAUCCACCUGGGGAGUACGUUCGCAAGAAUGAAACUCAAAGGAAUUGACGGGGGCCCGCACAAGCGGAGGAACAUGUGGUUUAAUUCGAUGAUACGCGAGGAACCUUACCCGGGCUUGAAAUGCAUCUGACGUGCUUUGAAAGAGGCAUUCCCUACGGGGCAGAUGUGUAGGUGCUGCAUGGUUGUCGUCAGCUCGUGCCGUGAGGUGUCGGCUUAAGUGCCAUAACGAGCGCAACCCUCAUCAUUAGUUACCAUCAGGUUAAGCUGGGGACUCUAAUGAGACUGCCAUCGUAAGAUGCGAGGAAGGUGGGGAUGACGUCAAAUCAGCACGGCCCUUACGUCCGGGGCGACACACGUGUUACAAUGGGUGGUACAAAGGGCAGCUACCUGGCGACAGGAUGCUAAUCUCCAAAACCACUCUCAGUUCGGAUCGGAGUCUGCAACUCGACUCCGUGAAGCUGGAUUCGCUAGUAAUCGCGCAUCAGCCACGGCGCGGUGAAUACGUUCCCGGGCCUUGUACACACCGCCCGUCAAGCCAUGGAAGCCGGGGGUACCUGAAGUUCGUAACCGUUAAGGAGCGACCUAGGGUAAAACUGGUGACUGGGGCUAAGUCGUAACAAGGUAACC
rnacentral:rRNA from 1 species